GACGAACGCUGGCGGCGUGCUUAACACAUGCAAGUCGAACGGAAAGGCCCUGCUUUUGUGGGGUGCUCGAGUGGCGAACGGGUGAGUAACACGUGAGUAACCUGCCCUUGACUUUGGGAUAACUUCAGGAAACUGGGGCUAAUACCGGAUAGGAGCUCCUGCUGCAUGGUGGGGGUUGGAAAGUUUCGGCGGUUGGGGAUGGACUCGCGGCUUAUCAGCUUGUUGGUGGGGUAGUGGCUUACCAAGGCUUUGACGGGUAGCCGGGCUGAGAGGGUGACCGGCCACGUUAGGACUGAGAUACGGCCCAGACUCCAACGGGAGGCAGAGGUGGGGAGUGUUACACAGUGGGAGGGAGGCUGGUCCGACGACGCCGCGUGGGGGAAGACAGGCAUCGGGUUGUAAAGCGCUUUCGCCUGUGACGGGACGUGAAUGACGGUAAUGGGUAAAGAAGCACCGGCUAACUACGUG
rnacentral:rRNA from 1 species